GUCAGGAUGGCCGAGCGGUCUAAGGCGCCAGACUCAAGGUUCAUAACCUUACCCGUCUAUGACGGGUAUACGGAGGCUUCUGGUCCUCUCUGAGGGCGUGGGUUCGAAUCCCACUUCUGACA
rfam:Trachymyrmex cornetzi contig59674, whole genome shotgun sequence.